rnacentral:rRNA from 1 species
ACACAUGCAGUCGAGCGGAUGAGGGAGCUUGCUCCUGGAUUCAGCGGCGGACGGGUAAGUAAUGCCUAGGAAUCUGCCUGGUAGUGGGGGACAACGUUUCGAAAGGAACGCUAAUACCGCAUACGUCCUACGGGAGAAAGCAGGGGACCUUCGGGCCUUGCGCUAUCAGAUGAGCCUAGGUCGGAUUAGCUAGUUGGUGAGGUAAUGGCUCACCAAGGCGACGAUCCGUAACUGGUCUGAGAGGAUGAUCAGUCACACUGGAACUGAGACACGGUCCAGACUCCUACGGGAGGCAGCAGUGGGGAAUAUUGGACAAUGGGCGAAAGCCUGAUCCAGCCAUGCCGCGUGUGUGAAGAAGGUCUUCGGAUUGUAAAGCACUUUAAGUUGGGAGGAAGGGCAGUAAAUUAAUACUUUGCUGUUUUGACGUUACCGACAGAAUAAGCACCGGCUAACUCUGUGCCAGCAGCCGCGGUAAUACAGAGGGUGCAAGCGUUAAUCGGAAUUACUGGGCGUAAAGCGCGCGUAGGUGGUUUGUUAAGUUGGAUGUGAAAUCCCCGGGCUCAACCUGGGAACUGCAUCCAAAACUGGCAAGCUAGAGUAUGGUAGAGGGUGGUGGAAUUUCCUGUGUAGCGGUGAAAUGCGUAGAUAUAGGAAGGAACACCAGUGGCGAACGCGACCACCUGGACUGAUACUGACACUGAGUGCGAAAGCGUGGGGAGCAAACAGGA